GAUGAACGCUGGCGGCGUGCCUAAUACAUGCAAGUCGAGCGAACGGACGAGAAGCUUGCUUCUCUGAUGUUAGCGGCGGACGGGUGAGUAACACGUGGAUAACCUACCUAUAAGACUGGGAUAACUUCGGGAAACCGGAGCUAAUACCGGAUAAUAUUUUGAACCGCAUGGUUCAAUAGUGAAAGACGGUCUUGCUGUCACUUAUAGAUGGAUCCGCGCUGCAUUAGCUAGUUGGUAAGGUAACGGCUUACCAAGGCAACGAUGCAUAGCCGACCUGAGAGGGUGAUCGGCCACACUGGAACUGAGACACGGUCCAGACUCCUACGGGAGGCAGCAGUAGGGAAUCUUCCGCAAUGGGCGAAAGCCUGACGGAGCAACGCCGCGUGAGUGAUGAAGGUCUUCGGAUCGUAAAACUCUGUUAUUAGGGAAGAACAUAUGUGUAAGUAACUGUGCACAUCUUGACGGUACCUAGUCAGAAAGCCACGGCUAACUACGUG
rnacentral:rRNA from 1 species